UACGUAGGGACCGAGCGUUGUCCGGAAUCAUUGGGCGUAAAGAGCGUGUAGGCGGCCUUUUAAGUCCUGCGUGAAAUCCUGCGGCUCAACCGCAGACGGUCGUGGGAAACUGGAAGGCUAGAGUGCGGGAGAGGAGAGUGGAAUUCCCGGUGUAGCGGUGAAAUGCGCAGAUAUCGGGAGGAACACCAGUAGCGAAGGCGACACUCUGGGCCGGUACUGACGCUGAGGAGCGAAAGCGUGGGGAGCAAACAGG
rnacentral:rRNA from 1 species